CUGCUGCCUCCCGUAGGAGUCUGGGCCGUGUCUCAGUCCCAGUGUGGGGGGCCUUCCUCUCAGAACCCCUACGCAUCGUCGCCACGGUGGGCCGUCACCCCGCCGUCUAGCUAAUGCGCCGCAUGCCCAUCCGCCACCGGAUCGCUCCUUUGGCCACCGGAGGAUGCCCUCCGGUGGCAUCACGGGGUAUUAGGCCGCGUUUCCGCGGGUUAUCCCCCUGUGGCGGCCAGGUUGCAUACGUGUUACUCACCCGUGCGCCGGUCGCCGG
rnacentral:rRNA from 1 species